GACGAACGCUGGCGGCGUGCUUAACACAUGCAAGUCGAACGGAAAGGCCCUGCUUUUGUGGGGUGCUCGAGUGGCGAACGGGGGAGUAACACGUGAGUAACCUGCCCUUGACUUUGGGAGAACUUCAGGAAACUGGGGCUAAUACCGGAUAGGAGCUCCUGCUGCAUGGUGGGGGUUGGAAAGUUUCGGCGGUUGGGGAUGGACUCGCGGCUUAUCAGCUUGUUGGUGGGGUAGUGGCUUACCAAGGCUUUGACGGGUAGCCGGCCUGAGAGGGUGACCGGCCACAUUGGGACUGAGAUACGGCCCAGACUCCUACGGGAGGCAGCAGUGGGGAAUAUUGCACAAUGGGCGGAAGCCUGAUGCAGCAACGCCGCGUGCGGGAUGACGGCCUUCGGGUUGUAAACCGCUUUCGCCUGUGACGAAGCGUGAGUGACGGUAAUGGGUAAAGAAGCACCGGCUAACUACGUG
rnacentral:rRNA from 1 species